rnacentral:rRNA from 1 species
CUGCGGAAGGAUCAUUACCGAGUGAGGGCCCUCUGGGUCCAACCUCCCACCCGUGUUUAUCGUACCUUGUUGCUUCGGCGGGCCCGCCUCACGGCCGCCGGGGGGCAUCCGCCCCCGGGCCCGCGCCCGCCGAAGACACACAAACGAACUCUUGUCUGAAGAUUGCAGUCUGAGUACUUGACUAAAUCAGUUAAAACUUUCAACAACGGAUCUCUUGGUUCCGGCAUCGAUGAAGAACGCAGCGAAAUGCGAUAAGUAAUGUGAAUUGCAGAAUUCAGUGAAUCAUCGAGUCUUUGAACGCACAUUGCGCCCCCUGGUAUUCCGGGGGGCAUGCCUGUCCGAGCGUCAUUGCUGCCCUCAAGCACGGCUUGUGUGUUGGGCUCUCGCCCCCCGCUUCCGGGGGGCGGGCCCGAAAGGCAGCGGCGGCACCGCGUCCGGUCCUCGAGCGUAUGGGGCUUCGUCACCCGCUCUGUAGGCCCGGCCGGCGCCCGCCGGCGAACACCAUCAAUCUUAACCAGGUUGACCUCGGAUCAGGUAGGGAUACCCGCUGAACUUAAGCAUAUCAAUAAGACGAGAGAGA